UAAAAUGAGAAUUUGAUCCUGGUUCAGGAUGAACGCUGGCGGCGUGGAUAAGGCAUGCAAGUCGAACGAACCCAGUAAGAUUACAUCAAGUUGGGUUAGUGGCAGACGAGUUAGUAACACGUAGGAACUUACCCCGAAGACGGACACAACCUGCCGAAAGGUGGGCUAAUAUCCGAUAGUCUCCGACCUCGCAAGAGCGUCGGAGUAAAGGUUGGCAACAGCCGCUUUGGGAGAGGCCUGCGGGCUAUCAGCUAGUUGGUGAGGUAAUGGCUCACCAAGGCUAUGACGGCUAGGGGGCGUGAGAGCGCGUUCCCCAACGAGGAAACUGAGACACGGUUCCUACUCCUACGGGAGGCAGCAGUCGAGAAUAUUCCGCAAUGGGCGAAAGCCUGACGGAGCGACGCCGCGUGGAGGAAGAAGGUCUUCGGAUCGUAAACUCCUUUUGGCAGGGAAGAAGGACCGUACCUCACUGCAUUCGGUAUGGAAUUUCUAAUUUUUAAUUUCUAAUUUUUAAUCAAUUUUUAAUGAUUUAAUUUUCAAACAUUAAGUCAUUCAAUCAUUUAUUGAAAAUUUAAAAUUUAAAAUUGAAAAUUCCGCCCGAGCGUAGCGAGGUGCGGUUCUGACGGUACCUGCAGAAUAAGGCGCUGCUAACCUCGUGCCAGCAGCCGCGGUAAUACGAGGGCGCCAAGCGUUAUCCGGAUUUAUUGGGCGUAAAGCGUCUGUAGGGGGUUAUGUUAGUUCAAUGUUAAAGCCCGCGACUCAAUCGCGGAAGUGCAUUGAAUACGGCAUGACUUGAGGGAGUCAGAGGCAAAUGGAACGGCCGGUGUAGGGGUGAAAUCCGUUGAUAUCGGCCGGAACACCAAAGGCGAAGGCAUUUUGCUGGGACUCUCCUGACCCUCAGAGACGAAAGCGUGGGUCGCGAAUGGGAUUAGAUACCCCAGUAGUCCACGCCCUAAACGAUGAGUGCUCGCUAUUUGAAGUAUCGACCCUUCAUGUGGCUUAGCUAACGCGUUAAGCACUCCGCCUGGGAAGUACGAGCGCAAGCUUAAAACUCAAAGGAAUAGACGGGGACUC
rfam:Candidatus Azambacteria bacterium RIFCSPLOWO2_02_FTLL_44_14 rifcsplowo2_02_scaffold_1969, whole genome shotgun sequence.